AUGGAAGACACGACGCCGCCCGCCGACGAGAGGCCGCUGGUGCUCCUGGGGCAGCCGCUGUUCCCGGAGUUCGCGGCCGCGCUGGCCGCGCGCUUCCGGUUCGUCCUGGUCGCCGACGCCGACGCCGCGACCCUGGCCCAGGGGAGGGCGCUGCUCAUCGGGCUCAACCCGGUCACGGACGACCACCUGGCCGCGCUCCCGGCGCUCGGGCUCGUGGCGGGCAUCUCCGUGGGCAUCAACCACGUCGACCUCGCCGCCUGCCGGCGCCGCGGGAUCGCCGUCACCAACGCAGGCGCGGCCUUCGCGGUCGACACGGCCGACUACGGCGUCGGGCUCGUCGUCGCCGUGCUCCGCCGGUUGGCCGCCGCCGACGCCCACGUCCGGGCCGGCAGGUGGGCGGCCGACGGCGACUAUCCUCUCACCACCAAGGUGAGUGGCAAGCGGGUGGGGGUCGUGGGGCUGGGCAACAUCGGCUCCCGCAUCGCGCGGCGGCUCGCCGCCUUCGGCUGCGCCGUGUCCUACAACUCGAGGUCGCCCAAGCCGUCGGCGGCGUACGAGUUCGUCCCCACCGUGCGCGACCUCGCCGCAGCCAGCGACGUGCUGGUGCUCUCCUGCGCGCUGACGGAGGAGACGAGGCACGUGGUGAACCGGGAGGUGAUGGAGGCGCUGGGGAAGGACGGCGUGCUGGUGAACGUCGGCCGCGGCGGCCUCGUGGACGAGCCGGAGCUGGUCAGGUGCCUGCAGGAGGGCGUCAUCGGCGGGGCCGGCCUGGACGUGUUCGAGAGCGAGCCGGACGUGCCGCCGGAGCUCUUCUCCAUGGACAACGUCGUGCUGUCGGCGCACAGGGCCGUGGCCACGCCGGAGUCCAUCCGCGGCACGAUCGAGCUCGUCGCCGGCAACCUCGAUGCCUUCUUCGCAGGGAAGCCACUGCUCAGCCCCGUGGAGCUCUGA
rnacentral:rRNA from 1 species